rnacentral:rRNA from 1 species
AACGAACGCUGGUGGCGUGCCUAACACAUGCAAGUCGAGCGUGAAAGUCCCUUCGGGGGCGAGUAAAGCGGCGGACGGGUGAGUAAUACAUGGGUAAUCUACGCCCGAGCUCGGGAUAACCCCGCGAAAGUGGGGCUAAUACCGGAUAAGACCACGUAACCCAGGUUACGGGGUAAAAGGUGGCUUUAGUUUCGACUAUGGCUAUCACUUGGGAAUGAGCCCAUGGCCUAUCAGCUUGUUGGUGAGGUAACGGCUCACCAAGGCUAUGACGGGUAGCUGGUCUAAGAGGACGGCCAGCCACACUGGGACUGAGACACGGCCCAGACUCCUACGGGUGGCAG